GACGAACGCUGGCGGCGUGCUUAACACAUGCAAGUCGAACGGUGAAGGGACUGGUUUUGCUGGUCCUGGAUGAGUGGCGAACGGGUGAGUAACACGUGAGUAACCUGCCCCCUUCUUCUGGAUAACCGCAUGAAAGUGUGGCUAAUACGGGAUAUUCUGGGUCUGUCGCAUGGUGGGCCUGGGAAAGAUUGCGCCUUUUUUGGUGUUUUUGGUGGGGGAUGGGCUCGCGGCCUAUCAGCUUGUUGGUGGGGUGAUGGCCUACCAAGGCGGUGACGGGUAGCCGGCCUGAGAGGGUGGACGGUCACACUGGGACUGAGACACGGCCCAGACUCCUACGGGAGGCAGCAGUGGGGAAUAUUGCACAAUGGGCGCAAGCCUGAUGCAGCGACGCCGCGUGAGGGAUGGAGGCCUUCGGGUUGUGAACCUCUUUCGCCAGUGAAGCAGGCCUGCCUCUUGUUGUGGGUGGGUUGACGGUAGCUGGAUAAGAAGCGCCGGCUAACUACGU
rnacentral:rRNA from 1 species